GACGAACGCUGGCGGCGUGCUUAACACAUGCAAGUCGAACGGAAAGGCCCUGCUUUUGUGGGGUGCUCGAGUGGCGAACGGGUGAGUAACACGUGAGUAACCUGCCCUUGACUUUGGGAUAACUUCAGGAAACUGGGGCUAAUACCGGAGAGGAGCUCCUGCUGCAGGGUGGGGGGUGGAAAGUUUCGGCGGGUGGGGAUGGACUCGCGGCUUAUCAGCUUGUGGGUGGGGUAGUGGCUUACCAAGGCUUUGACGGGUAGCCGGCCUGGGAGGGUGACCGGCCACCUUGGGCCUGCGAUACGGCCCAGACUCCUACGGGAGGCAGCAGUGGGGAAUAUUGCCCAAUGGGCGGAAGCCUGAUGCAGCAACGCCGCGUGCGGGAUGCCGGCCUUCGGGUUGUAAACCGCUUUCGCCUGUGACGAAGCGUGAGUGACGGUAAUGGGUAAAGAAGCACCGGCUAACUACGUG
rnacentral:rRNA from 1 species